rnacentral:rRNA from 1 species
UCCUACGGGAGGCAGCAGUGGGGAAUAUUGCGCAAUGGGGGAAACCCUGACGCAGCGAUGCCGCGUGGGUGAAGAAGGCCUUAGGGUUGUAAAGCCCUUUCAGUGGGAACGAUAGUGACGGUACCCACAGAAGAAGCCCCGGCUAACUCCGUGCCAGCAGCCGCGGUAAUACGGAGGGGGCGAGCGUUGUUCGGAAUUAUUGGGCGUAAAGCGCGCGUAGGCGGUUUACUAAGUCAGGAGUGAAAGCCCAGGGCUCAACCCUGGAACUGCUCUUGAAACUGGUAGACUAGAGUCCGGCAGAGGGUGGUGGAAUUCCCCGUGUAGAGGUGAAAUUCGUAGAUAUGGGGAGGAAGACCAGAGGCGAAGGCGGCCACCUGGACCGGUACUGACGCUAAGGCGCGAGAGCGUGGGGAGCGAACAGGAUUAGAUACCCUGGUAGUCCACGCUGUAAACGAUGAGUGCUAGUUGUCGCGGGUAUCGACCCCUGCGGCAACGAAGUAACACGUAAGCACUCCGCCUGGGAKACGCCGCAG